UUUAAAAUCUAAAAAUGAUGUUAUACAUCCUAUAUUA
rnacentral:tRNA from 1 species